GUCCACGCUGUAAACGAUCGGUACUAGGAUUUGUGGGAGUUGACCCCUGCAGAUCCGGAGCUAACGCGAUAAGUACCGCGCCUGGGAAGUACGGUCGCAAGACUAAAACUCAAAGGAAUUGACGGGAGCCCGCACAAGCGGUGGAUUAUGUGGUUUAAUUCGAAGCAACGCGCAGAACCUUACCUAGGUUUGACAUCCUUUGACAAUGCCAGAGAUGGUACUUUCGUAGCAAUACGACAAAGAGACAGGUGCUGCAUGGCUGUCGU
rnacentral:rRNA from 1 species